rnacentral:rRNA from 1 species
GGAAAUUGAAAAAAGAGUAAUGCCUAGGAAAUUGCCCUGAUGUGGGGGAUAACCAUUGGAAACGGGAUGGCUAAUACCGCAUGAUGCCUACGGGCCAAAGAGGGGGACCUUCGGGCCUCUCGCGUCAGGAUAUGCCUAGGUGGGAUUAGCUAGUUGGGUGAGGUAAUGGCUCACCAAGGCGACGAUCCCUAGCUGGUCUGAGAGGAUGAUCAGCCACACUGGAACUGAGACACGGUCCAGACUCCUACGGGAGGCAGCAGUGGGGAAUAUUGCACAAUGGGCGCAAGCCUGAUGCAGCCAUGCCGGCGUGUGUGGAAGAAGGCCUUCGGGUUGUAAAGCACUUUCAGUCGUGAGGAAGGUGGUGUAGUUAAUAGCUGCAUUAUUUGACGUUAGCGACAGAAGAAGCACCGGCUAACUCCGUGCCAGCAGCCGCGGUAAUACGGAGGGUGCGAGCGUUAAUCGGAAUUACUGGGCGUAAAGCGCAUGCAGGUGGUUUGUUAAGUCAGAUGUGAAAGCCCGGGGCUCAACCUCGGAAUAGCAUUUGAAACUGGCAGACUAGAGGGUACUGUAGAGGGGGGUAGAAUUUCAGGUGUAGCGGUGAAAUGCGUUAGAGAUCUGAAGGAAUACCGGUGGCGAAGGCGGCCCCCCUGGACAGAUACUGACACUCAGAUGCGAAAGCGUGGGGGAGCAAACAGGAUUAGAUACCCUGGUAGUCCACGCCGUAAACGAUGUCUACUUGGAGGUUGUGGCCUUGAGCCGUGGCUUUCGGAGCUAACGCGUUAAGUAGACCGCCUGGGGAGUACGGUCGCAAGAUUAAAACUCAAAUGAAUUGACGGGGGCCCGCACAAGCGGUGGAGCAUGUGGUUUAAUUCGAUGCAACGCGAAGAACCUUACCUACUCUUGACAUCCAGAGAACUUUUCAGAGAUGAAUUGGUGCCUUCGGGAACUCUGAGACAGGUGCUGCAUGCAC